rnacentral:tRNA from 1 species
GGCUUUAUAUUCAAGUAUGAUUCUAGACUGCAAUUCUAGAGGUGUAAAAUUUACUAAGGCCU